rnacentral:rRNA from 1 species
CGCGGCCUAUCAGCUUGUUGGUGGGGCAGUGGCCUACCAAGGCGACGACGGGUAGCCGGCCUGAGAGGACGACCGGCCACACUGGGACUGAGACACGGCCCAGACUCCUACGGGAGGCAGCAGUGGGGAAUAUUGCGCAAUGGGCGAAAGCCUGACGCAGCGACGCCGCGUGAGGGAUGAAGGCCUUCGGGUUGUAAACCUCUUUCAGCAGGGACGAAGCGCAAGUGACGGUACCUGCAGAAGAAGCACCGGCCAACUACGUGCCAGCAGCCGCGGUAAUACGUAGGGUGCAAGCGUUGUCCGGAAUUAUUGGGCGUAAAGAGCUCGUAGGCGGCUCGUCGCGUCGGCUGUGAAAACCUGGGGCUCAACCCCGGGCCUGCAGCCGAUACGGGCGGGCUAGAAUUCGGUAGGGGAGACUGGAAUUCCUGGUGUAGCGGUGAAAUGCGCAGAUAUCAGGAGGAACACCGGUGGCGAAGGCGGGUCUCUGGGCCGAUAUUGACGCUGAGGGGCGAAAGCGCGGGGAGCGAACAGGAUUAGAUACCCUGGUAGUCCACGCCGUAAACGUUGGGAACUAGGUGUGGGCCACAUUCCACGUGGUCUGUGCCGCAGCUAACGCAUUAAGUUCCCCGCCUGGGGAGUACGG